rnacentral:rRNA from 1 species
UUGGGUGUAAGUGUGCGUAGGCGGGUCUUUAAGUCAGGGGUGAAAUCCUGGAGCUCAACUCCAGAACUGCCUUUGAUACUGAAGAUCUUGAGUUCGGGAGAGGUGAGUGGAACUGCGAGUGUAGAGGUGAAAUUCGUAGAUAUUCGCAAGAACACCAGUGGCGAAGGCGGCUCACUGGGCCCCGAUACUGACGCUGAGGCACGAAAGCGUGGGGAGCAAAACAGGAUUAGAUACCCCCGUA